GGCUGUUGGUGUAGCUCAGUUGGUAGAGUGCUUGCCUCACAAGCACAAGGCCCUGGGUUCAAUCCCCAGUACUGUCA